GAGAGUUUGAUCCUGGCUCAGAACGAACGCUGGCGGCAGGCUUAACACAUGCAAGUCGAGCGGGCCCUUCGGGGUCAGCGGCAGACGGGUGAGUAACACGUGGGAACGUACCCAUCUCUGCGGAACAACUCCGGGAAACUGGAGCUAAUACCGCAUACGCCCUUAGGGGGAAAGAUUUAUCGGAGAUGGAUCGGCCCGCGUUGGAUUAGCUAGUUGGUGGGGUAAAGGCCUACCAAGGCGACGAUCCAUAGCUGGUCUGAGAGGAUGAUCAGCCACAUUGGGACUGAGACACGGCCCAAACUCCUACGGGAGGCAGCAGUGGGGAAUAUUGGACAAUGGGCGCAAGCCUGAUCCAGCCAUGCCGCGUGAGUGAUGAAGGCCUUAGGGUUGUAAAGCUCUUUCACCGGAGAAGAUAAUGACGGUAUCCGGAGAAGAAGCCCCGGCUAACUUCGUGCCAGCAGCCGCGGUAAUACGAAGGGGGCUAGCGUUGUUCGGAAUUACUGGGGCGUAAAGCGCACGUA
rnacentral:rRNA from 1 species